rnacentral:rRNA from 1 species
UGGGGAAUAUUGCACAAUGGGGGAAACCCUGAUGCAGCGACGCCGCGUGAGCGAUGAAGUAUUUCGGUAUGUAAAGCUCUAUCAGCAGGGAAGAUAAUGACGGUACCUGACUAAGAAGCACCGGCUAAAUACGUGCCAGCAGCCGCGGUAAUACGUAUGGUGCAAGCGUUAUCCGGAUUUACUGGGUGUAAAGGGAGCGUAGACGGAUGGGCAAGUCUGAUGUGAAAACCCGGGGCUCAACCCCGGGACUGCAUUGGAAACUGUUCAUCUAGAGUGCUGGAGAGGUAAGUGGAAUUCCUAGUGUAGCGGUGAAAUGCGUAGAUAUUAGGAGGAACACCAGUGGCGAAGGCGGCUUACUGGACAGUAACUGACGUUGAGGCUCGAAAGCGUGGGGAGCAAACAG